AUUGAACGCUGGCGGCAUGCCUUACACAUGCAAGUCGAAUGGUAACAGGUCUUCGGAUGCUGACGAGUGGCGAACGGGUGAGUAAUACAUCGGAACGUGCCCGAUCGUGGGGGAUAACGAAGCGAAAGCUUUGCUAAUACCGCAUACGAUCUACGGAUGAAAGCGGGGGACCGCAAGGCCUUGCGCGAACGGAGCGGCCGAUGGCAGAUUAGGUAGUUGGUGGGAUAAAAGCUUACCAAGCCGACGAUCUGUAGCUGGUCUGAGAGGACGACCAGCCACACUGGGACUGAGACACGGCCCAGACUCCUACGGGAGGCAGCAGUGGGGAAUUUUGGACAAUGGGCGAAAGCCUGAUCCAGUCAUGCCGCGUGCAGGGUGAAGGCCUUCGGGUUGUAAACUGCUUUUGUACGGAACGAAAAGACUCUGGUUAAUACCUGGGGUCCAUGACGGUACCGUAAGAAUAAGCACCGGCUAACUACGUG
rnacentral:rRNA from 1 species